UAGGGACGCUUCUUAGGUACAAAUUGGCAGC
rnacentral:piRNA from 1 species